AAUAUUGGUCAAUGGGCGCAAGCCUGAACCAGCCAUCCCGCGUGCAGGAAGAAGGCGCUAUGCGUCGUAAACUGCUUUUCCAGGGGAAGAAAACCUGAUACGUGUAUCGGCUUGCCGGUACCCUGGGAAUAAGCAUCGGCUAACUCCGUGCCAGCAGCCGCGGUAAUACGGAGGAUGCGAGCGUUAUCCGGAUUUAUUGGGUUUAAAGGGUGCGUAGGCGGAUUAAUAAGUCAGUGGUGAAAACCUUCAGCUUAACUGGAGACUUGCCAUUGAUACUGUUAGUCUUGAGUACGGUCAAGGUAGGCGGAAUGUGUAAUGUAGCGGUGAAAUGCUUAGAUAUUACACAGAACACCGAUUGCGAAGGCAGCUUACUGGGCCAUUACUGACGCUGAUGCACGAAAGCGUGGGGAGCGA
rnacentral:rRNA from 1 species